AGCGAAAUACCUUGUGGGGUAAGUUCCCACGCGCAUGAAUAGCGGAACGACUGGGGGACUGUCUCAACCAAUAGCCCGGUGAAAAUGCAAUGUCGGUAAAGAUGCCGACUUCCCGCACCAAGACGGAAAGACCCCGGAAGCUUCACUGCAGCUUGGUAUUGGUCUACGAGUUGUUAUACGUAGCGUAGUGAGUAGUCUUUGAAGUAUCGAUUUAGGUCGGUAUGGAGACGCCAAUGAAACACUCAUUUUAACGAUUUGUAGCUCUAACCGGUUAUGCCCUCAUAGUAUGUGAGGGGACGCAGAGAAUGUUUCCAUGUAGGUAUGGAAGUUUUUGCGUCCUGCUUAAUUACUAAUUCGCAUAUUUUGAGGGCAUAAUCGAGACAGUGCCUGGCGGGUAGUUUAAGUGGGGCACUUUCCUCCUAAAGAGUAAUGGAGGAGUUCAUCAAGGUUGGCUAGCUCCGGAUGGAAAUCGGAGCGAUAGUGUAAAGGCAUAAGCCAGCUUUACUGCAAGACGGAUGUGUCGCGCAGUUACGAAAGUAGGACCUAGUGAACCGACUCUCGUUCGUAGGAACGGAGAAGAUCACCAGAUAAAAGCUACUCCGGGGAUAACAGGCUAGUCUUGCCCGAGCGUUCACAGCGACGGCAAGGUUCGGCACCUCGAUGUCGGCUCGCCCUAUCCUGGGACUGAAGAAGGCCCCAAGGGUUUGGCUGUUCGCCAAUUAAAAGGGUACGCGAGCUGGGUUCAAACCGUUGCGGGCGUUGAAUAUUUGAGAGGGGUUGUCCCUAGUAAAGUUAUUGCUACUUCACGGAGUAAUCCGUGAUGACAAUUUGGCUAAUAACGGUGGAACCUUUAAUUUUUUGCAUCCGUUGAUAACAAUAAUUGUAUCGGUCCGAAAAUUAUUGUACAAUUUACUUGAGGACCAAGAUAAUUAAAGACAAUACCGUGGGAAGUCGAUCUAAAAUUGAUUUAGCUUAUGUGGCUGGUUUUCUAGAUGGCGAUGGCAGUCUUAUGCUUCAAAUUAAGAAACGUAAAGACGGCAAGAAGUGGAGAUUUAUGGCGACUAUUUGUUUUUAUCAAGAUAGUCGUCAUGAUAAAGGUCUUCACUGGAUAAAGAAGAUUCUAGAAAUUGGCUAUAUAUCCAAAAGGAAUGAUGGAAUGACAGAAUUAAGAAUAAACGGAUUUCUACAAAUCGCGAAUAUCUUAAAUGAGUUAAUUCCACAUAUCAGAUUUAAAAAAGUACAGGCCCGGGCAUUGCUCGAAGCUUGUGAAAUAUUAUCUGAUAGAGCUAGAAAUAAUCAAAAGACUAAUCUGAUUAAAUUAGUCGGCCUGAUCUUAACAAUCCAAAACGACAAUUAUGUCGCCAAGAGGAAGAAGACUAAGGAAGAAUUAUUAUCAAUAUUAGGUCUGACCCCGUAACGACUUGAUCCCGAGGCUAGAAAUAGCUGGAGGACGGAUGGAGACUUUUCAGUCUUCAUAAGAUGCCAAUCUCCAAAUCCGCUAAUCGGCGGAGGAGAAAGAUAUAGUCUGCGCUUCUAGUGAUAGGAGAAUAAGUGACGAGAGGACCGGGACGAACGAACCUCUGGUGUACCAGCUGUCCUGCCAAGGGCAUUGCUGGGUAGCUAUGUUCGGUUCUGAUAAGCACUGAAAGCAUAGAUGAGAUAUUCUGGAUUCCUUGUAGAUUACGAGGUUGAUAGGACUCAGGUGUAAGCACAGCGAUGUGUUCAGCCAAGAGUUACUAAUAGAUCCUCUAUCCGCCUAA
rfam:Parcubacteria (Yanofskybacteria) bacterium GW2011_GWD2_39_48 TT53_C0042, whole genome shotgun sequence.